rnacentral:rRNA from 1 species
GUAGGUGGCAAGCGUUGUCCGAAUUAUUGGGCGUAAAGCGCGCGCAGGCGGUUCUUUAAGUCUGAUGUGAAAGCCCACGGGCUCAACCGUGGAGGGUCAUUGGAAACUGGAGAACUUGAGUACAGAAGAGGAAAGCGGAAUUCCACGUGUAGCGGUGAAAUGCGUAGAGAUGUGGAGGAACACCAGUGGCGAAGGCGGCUUUCUGGUCUGUAACUGACGCUGAGGCGCGAAAGCGUGGGGAGCAAACAGGAUUAGAUACCCUGGUAGUCCACGCCGUAAACGAUGAGUGCUAAGUGUUAGGGGGGUUUCCGCCCCCUUAGUGCUGCAGCUAACGCAUUAAGCACUCCGCCUGGGGAGUACGGCCGCAAGGCUG